rnacentral:rRNA from 1 species
CAACGCGAAGAACCUUACCUGGUCUUGACAUCCCGGGAAUCUCCUGGAAACAGGAGAGUGCUUUCAUUAGGAAGAGCCCGGUGACAGGUGCUGCAUGGCUGUCGUCAGCUCGUGUCGUGAGAUGUUGGGUUAAGUCCCGCAACGAGCGCAACCCUCGCCUUUAGUUGCCAUCAGGUCAAGCUGGGCACUCUAAGGGGACUGCCGGUGUCAAACCGGAGGAAGGUGGGGAUGACGUCAAGUCCUCAUGGCCUUUAUGACCAGGGCUACACACGUACUACAAUGGCCGGUACAAAGGGCAGCCACAGGGCGACCUGGAGCGAAUCCCGGAAAGCCGGUCUCAGUCCGGAUUGGAGUCUGCAACUCGACUCCAUGAAGUUGGAAUCGCUAGUAAUCGUGGAUCAGCAUGCCACGGUGAAUACGUUCCCGGGCCUUGUACACACCGCCCGUCACACCACGGAAGUCGGUUGUACCAGAAGCAGUUGAGCUAACCUUCGGGAGGCAGGCUGCCAAGGUAUGGCUGGUAACUGGGGUGAAGUCGUAACAAGGUA